CAGAAGAAACAAUUAACUAGAUUACAAUAGCAUAGUAAGGAAGCGUCCCAUAUAGAUUCCUCCAACAGAGAUAUAACAAGAACAAGAUUAGUGUUGGUUUUUGCCGUGGUUAGUCGACAAGUUGAUCUCGUCGGCGCCGGCUACUGCUAAUGUAGAAAAAAACCCAGUUUUCUGGCGAAAUUUUAUUACCCACUUUAGGUGGCUUGGUUAAUUAAUUGUGUAAUAUUUUUCAAAUCAACCAUAUCCAUGGAAGGUGAAUCGUGACGAAUCUGGUUUUUAGUGGUGGUGGGUAAUUUCCGGUAGAUUGCAAGUGGAUAUAGUAGGAAGGAGAGAGAUAGAUUAUUUUCUGGAGGUGAGCUGUCCAGUUACUAUCGCAGCACCGACAAAGACCAUUUUUUGGGCGAAAUUUUAUUACCUUGUGUAAUGGCGGAGGGUAAGGGAGAAGAGGGGUUCUGAUGAUAGGGAAAAUCAUAGAGAGAGAAAAAAGAACAAAAAUUUGGAAUGAAUAUGAACUAUUUAGAAAGAAAGAUGAGG
rnacentral:lncRNA from 1 species